UACGUAGGGGGCAAGCGUUGUCCGGAUUCAUUGGGCGUAAAGAGCGUGUAGGCGGUCAGGUAGGUCGGUUGUGAAAACUGGAGGCUCAACCUUCAGAGGUCGACCGAAACCCCCUGGCUAGAGUCCGGGAGAGGAGAGUGGAAUUCCUGGUGUAGCGGUGAAAUGCGCAGAUAUCAGGAAGAACACCCGUGGCGAAAGCGGCUCUCUGGAACGGUACUGACGCUGAGACGCGAAAGCGUGGGGAGCGAUCAGG
rnacentral:rRNA from 1 species